GGAUUAGAUACCCUGGUAGUCCACGCCGUAAACUAUGGAUGCUAGCUGUUAUUCGUAUCGACCCGAGUAGUAGCGAAGCUAACGCGUUAAGCAUCCCGCCUGUGGAGUACGGCCGCAAGGCUAAAACAUAAAGGAAUUGACGGGGACCCGCACAAGCGGUGGAGCGUGUUGUUUAAUUCGAUGGUAAGCGAAGAACCUUACCCAGGCUUGACAUCCUUGGAAGCACUGCGAAAGCAGAGUGUGCCUUCGGGAACCAAGUGACAGGUGCUGCAUGGCCGUCGUCAGCUCGUGCCG
rnacentral:rRNA from 1 species